rnacentral:rRNA from 1 species
UACGUAGGGUGCGAGCGUUGUCCGGAAUUAUUGGGCGUAAAGAGCUUGUAGGCGGUUUGUCGCGUCUGCUGUGAAAAUCCGGGGCUCAACCCCGGACUUGCAGUGGGUACGGGCAGACUAGAGUGUGGUAGGGGAGACUGGAAUUCCUGGUGUAGCGGUGAAAUGCGCAGAUAUCAGGAGGAACACCGAUGGCGAAGACAGGUCUCUGGGCCACUACUGACGCUGAGAAGCGAAAGCAUGGGGAGCGAACAGG